AAUGAUGUGUCUUUGUCUCUCUCAGUUGACGAAUUUCCGGUUUUUUCUUUCCAACCGUAAGCACUGAGCUGAAGCUUCCAUGGUUGACACCAACUCUCUAACAAGUAACAACACAAUUGAAGCAUGUCGAAUUUCCAUUCCUCGAUUCUCGUUUUGAUUCUCAUCUUACUUCCACUUGCUCUAUCCCAACAAGAAGCAAUUCAAGCAAUUAUCCAUCGUUUGGAUUCCAAAACUCUAUCUCCUUCCAUUCAGGAAGCUGCAGCCAAGGCUCUUCUCCGGCGUUUGCUUCCCACUCAUGUUGAUAGCUUCGAGUUUCAGAUUGUUUCUAGGGACGUUUGUAGUGGGGGAAGUUGCUUCUUGAUUAGUAAUUUCAAGUCCUCAAGUCGCAAUGGUGCAGAGAUACUUAUUAGAGGCACUACGGCAGUUGAAAUUACAUCUGGCCUUUACUGGUACUUAAAAUAUUGGUGUGGUGCUCAUGUUUCCUGGGACAAGACUGGUGGAGUUCAAUUAGCUUCGAUUCCUAAACCAGGAUCUCUACCUUUUUUAAAGGGCGAUGGAGUUGUGAUUAAGCGACCAGUGCCAUGGAAUUAUUACCAAAACGUUGUUACUUCAAGCUAUUCCUAUGUUUGGUGGGAUUGGGAAAGAUGGGAGAAAGAGAUAGACUGGAUGGCCCUCCAUGGAAUUAACCUUCCUUUGGCCUUCACCGGGCAAGAAUCAAUUUGGAGAAAUGUUUUCAGGGAUUUCAACCUUGCCUUCAAAGAUUUGGACAAUUUCUUUGGUGGACCCGCUUUUCUUGCCUGGGCUCGCAUGGGAAAUCUACAUGGGUGGGGUGGGCCUUUAUCGAAAAAUUGGUUGGAUCAACAAUUAGCUUUACAGAAACAGAUACUAUCCCGAAUGCGAGAGUUGGGGAUGACUCCAGUUCUACCAUCCUUCUCAGGGAAUGUCCCAGCAGGUUUGGUAGAGAUAUUUCCCUCGGCCAACAUAACUAGAUUAGGAAACUGGAACUCAAUUGAUGCUGAUCCUAGUACAUGCUGCACAUACCUUCUCAAUCCGUCUGAUCCUCUAUUUGUCGAAAUUGGGGAGGCUUUUAUCAGACAACAGAUAAAAGAGUAUGGGGACGUAACAGACAUUUACAGCUGCGAUACAUUCAAUGAAAAUACUCCACCUACAAAUGACACCUCGUAUAUUUCAUCACUCGGAGCUUCUGUCUAUAAAGCUAUGGUGAAAGCUGAUAAGGAUGCCGUGUGGCUCAUGCAAGGAUGGCUCUUCUAUUCAGACUCUGCUUUUUGGAAGCCUGAUCAAAUGAAAGCACUACUUCACUCAGUCCCAUUUGGGAAAAUGAUUGUUCUUGAUCUUUUUGCGGAUGUCAAGCCAAUUUGGAAAACAUCAUCCCAAUUUUAUGGUACACCCUACGUAUGGUGUAUGUUGCAUAACUUUGGUGGAAAUAUAGAAAUGUAUGGUAUAUUGGAUGCAAUCUCUUCAGGUCCAGUCGAUGCCCUUGCGAGUGAAAAUUCAACAAUGGUUGGUGUUGGCAUGUGUAUGGAAGGAAUAGAGCAUAAUCCGGUAGUUUAUGAAUUGAUUUCUGAAAUGGCAUUUCGCAGCAAAAAAGUUCAAGUCCAGGAGUGGUUGAAGACCUAUUCUCGUUGUCGUUACGGCAAAGCAGAUCAUUAUGUUGAUGCAGCUUGGAAUAUUCUUUAUCAUACAAUUUACAAUUGCACUGAUGGCAUUGCGAACCAUAACACUGAUUUCAUUGUCAAACUGCCUGAUUGGGAUCCAUCUUCAAGUUCUGAUCUGAAAAAGCCGCCACAUCUAUGGUAUUCCACUCAGGAGGUUAUCAAUGCCUUGCAGCUACUUGUUAAUGUAGACGAUAAUCUCGUCCACAGCGCUACAUAUAGAUAUGACUUGGUUGACUUAACACGGCAAGUGCUAGGGAAACUGGCAAAUGAAGAAUAUUUGAAGGCUGUAACUGCUUUCCGACGCCAGAAUGUGAAGGCUCAAAAUCUUCACAGCAAGAGGUUUAUUCAAUUAAUUAGAGAUAUUGACAGACUACUAGCUUCUAAUUCAAACUUUCUGCUCGGAACAUGGCUAGAAAGUGCAAAGAAGUUGGCAACAAAUCCAUCUGAGAUGAAGCAGUACGAAUGGAAUGCAAGAACGCAAGUGACUAUGUGGUAUGAUAACACAAAAGUCAAUCAGAGCAAACUUCAUGAUUAUGCGAAUAAGUACUGGAGUGGACUACUGGAAGGUUACUAUCUCCCAAGAGCUUUGACCUACUUUUAUUACCUAUCAAAAAGCUUGAGAAAAAAUGAGAGCUUCCAUUUGGAAGACUGGAGAAGGGAAUGGAUACUGUUUUCAAACAAAUGGCAAGCUGCUUCAGAACUUUACCCAGUUAAAGCUAAAGGAAAUGCAGUUGCCAUUUCUAAAGCCUUGUAUGAAAAGUACUUUGGUUGAAACAAUUUCUCAUUGUUCUACCAUAGCAAACAUGCUCUUUCAGUAGCGGAUCACCUGCAGCCAUAAGUCUCAUAAGCUCAGCAAAUUCCACUUCAUUGGAAACCCUCCAUGGAUGAACAGCAGGAACUUCAGCAGCAUACAAGUUUGUAACAUUACUCGACAGUUCCUCUGCUGGUAUCUUCUUAUAAACCAUUCUGCUGAAAAUGUCGUCGAAAUUUUGGGGUGAAUCCAUUGCCAUGAAGAACAUUGCCACAGCUACUCUGUAAUCAAUCUUGUAGUUACCAACAAGAGCUACAAGAUCCGUGAAGUCUCCCACAAACUGCCGAGGCAUUGUGCUCACUACCUUCUUCACCCAGUCUGCUUGUUUAGCAAACAAGACAGAAUCAUCACUGACUCUGGUCCAAGAUUGAGGAACCUGUGAGAAAGAGAAACAAUUAUAUAAUUCUUCAACCGUUCUAUAAAGCAAGAGAGAUACAACUGAGACCUGCAUCAUUACCUUGUAAGUGAUCCAAAGUUUAUCUUUAUCUGCUUGCAGUAAAUUCCAAUAGUUGAGAAUGGUGUUAUCUUGGAGGAACAAGAAUCCUUCUGCAUUAGGAAAUUUUUCAAAUACCAUGGGCAGGUACCUAUAAAAAAAGAAUUAAUUUGUUGAACUUAUCAUUCAUGAACUUCUCUAAAUAAAUAUUUAGUCAUUCAUUUUAAUUAAGAAUGCUUUCUUUUUAA